rnacentral:rRNA from 1 species
GAUGAACGCUGGCGGCGUGCCUAAUACAUGCAAGUCGAACGAACCUUCUUUAUCACCGAGUGCUUGCACUCACCGAUAAAGAGUUGAGUGGCGAACGGGUGAGUAACCCGUGGGCAACCUGCCCAAAAGAGGGGGAUAACCCUUGGCAACAGGUGCUAAUACCGCAUAACCAUAGUUACCGCAUGGUAACUAUGUAAAAGGUGGCUAUACUACCGCUUUUGGAUGGGCCCGCGGCGCAUUAGCUAGUUGGUAGGGUAAAGGCUUAACAAGGCAACGAUGCGUAGCCGAAUUGAGAGGUUGAUCGGCCACAUUGGGACUGAGACACGGCCCACACUCCUACGGGAGGCAGCAGUAGGGAAUCUUCCGCAAUGGGCGAAAGCCUGAUGGAGCAACGCCGCGUGAGUGAUGAAGGUCUUCGGAUCGUAAAACCCUGUUGUUAGAGAAGAAAGUGCGUGAGAGUAACUGUUCACGUUUCGACGGUAUCUAACCAGAAAGCCACGGCUAACUACGUG